UACGGAGGGUGCAAGCGUUAAUCGGAAUUACUGGGCGUAAAGCGUGCGCAGGCGGUUUGUUAAGUCUGCUGUGAAAUCCCCGAGCUCAACUUGGGAAUUGCAGUGGAUACUGGCAAGCUGGAGUACGGUAGAGGAAGGUGGAAUUCCCGGUGUAGCAGUGAAAUGCGUAGAGAUCGGGAGGAGCACCAGUGGUGAAGGCGGCCUUCUGGACCAGUACUGACGCUCAUGCACGAAAGCGUGGGGAGCAAACAGG
rnacentral:rRNA from 1 species